CACCACCUGCCCAGAUCUGUGUUUCCUGUUUGCAGAACACAGGAAGAUGAAGAGGAAACAGAUGAAGCAGCUUUCACUGCUCUGCCUUGGCCAGGUGCUUCCUAUCAGUGAAGGAUUGAUAGAAUAGCCCUUAGUGUCCUUAUGGCCUGUCAGUGAGAUGGUUAAUGACACUGUGUUGCAACUAUGUUUUCCCAUAUGUGUCAGUUGGAUGAGCUGCUCUUAGUCCAGUUUAAGACCUUGAUGAGAUAUUUUGAGUUCACAAUUGGGUUUUUUUUAUUCUUUUUUUUUUUUU